rnacentral:rRNA from 1 species
AUUGAACGCUGGCGGCAGGCCUAACACAUGCAAGUCGAGCGUGCGGCGGACGGGUGAGUACUGUCUGGGAAACUGUCCGUUGGCGGCGGAUAACUACGGGAAACGGUUUCUAAUACUGCACACCAUCCGCUUUGCCAAGUUGGGAUUAGCUAGUGGGUGGGGUAACGGCCAACCUAGGCGACGAUCCCUAGCUGGUCUGAGAGGAUGACCAGCCACACUGGAACUGAGACACGGUCCAGACUCCUACGGGAGGCAGCAGUGGGGAAUAUUGCACAAUGGGCGAAAGCCUGAUGCAGCCAUGCCGCGUGUGUGAAGAAGGCCUUCGGGUUGUAAAGCACUUUCAGCGGGGAGGCGUUACCCGCAGAAGAAGCACCGGCUAACUCCGUGCCAGCAGCCGCGGUAAUAC